GAUGAAUGCUGGCGGCGCGCCUAACACAUGCAAGUCGAGCGGUAACAUGGACUUCGGUCCGAUGACGAGCGGCGGACGGCUGAGUAACGCGUGGGAACAUGCCCCAAAGUGAGGAAUAACUGCCCGAAAGGGUAGCUAAUGCCGCAUAUGAUCUUCGGAUUAAAGGAUUUAUCCGCUUUGGGAGUGGCCCGCGUUCGAUUAGGUAGUUGGUGAGGUAAAGGCUCACCAAGCCUACGAUCGAUAACUGGUCUAAGAGGAUGAUCAGUCAGACUGGAACUGAGACACGGUCCAGACUCCUACGGGAGGCAGCAGUGAGGAAUCUUCCACAAUGGGCGAAAGCCUGAUGGAGCGACGCCGCGUGCAGGAUGAAGGCCUUCGGGUUGUAAACUGCUUUUAUAAGUGAAGAAUAUGACGGUAACUUAUGAAUAAGCACCGGCUAACUACGUGCCAGCCGCCGCCGUA
rnacentral:rRNA from 1 species